UACGUAGGGUGCGAGCGUUAAUCGGAAUUACUGGGCGUAAAGCGUGCGCAGGCGGUUUUGUAAGUCAGAUGUUAAAUCCCCGGGCCUAACCUUGGAACUGCGUUUGAAACUACAAGGCUAGAGUGUGGCAGAGGGGGGUGGAAUUCCACGUGUAGCAGUGAAAUGCGUAGAGAUGUGGAGGAACACCGAUGGCGAAGGCAGCCCCCUGGGUUAACACUGACGCUCAGGCACGAAAGCGUGGGGAGCAAACAGG
rnacentral:rRNA from 1 species